UUAGAGUUUGAUCCUGGCUCAGGAUGAACGCUAGCGGCAGGCUUAACACAUGCAAGUCGAGGGGCAGCGCGGGCUUCGGCCUGGCGGCGACCGGCGCAAGGGUGCGUAACACGUGAGCAACAUGCCCGUGACAGUGGGAUAACCGGAGGAAACUCCGACUAAUACCGCAUGAUGAUAUUGGAUCGCAUGGUUUGAUAUCUAAACAUUUAUGGGUCACGGAUUGGCUCGCGGGACAUUAGCUAGACGGCGGGGUAACGGCCCACCGUGGCGACGAUGUCUAGGGGUUCUGAGAGGAAGGUCCCCCACAUUGGAACUGAGACACGGUCCAAACUCCUACGGGAGGCAGCAGUGAGGAAUAUUGGUCAAUGGUCGGAAGACUGAACCAGCCAUGCCGCGUGACGGAAGACGGUCCUAUGGAUUGUAAACGUCUUUUGUACGGGAGGAAUAAGGUCCACGGGUGGGCCGACGACAGUACCGUACGAAUAAGCAUCGGCUAACUCCGUGCCAGCAGCCGCGGUAAUACGGAGGAUGCGAGCGUUAUCCGGAUUCAUUGGGUUUAAAGGGUGCGUAGGCGGGCGCUUAAGUCAGCGGUGAAAUGCAGGGGCCCAACCCCUGACGUGCCGUUGAUACUGGGCACCUUGAAUACGGAUGCUGUGGGAGGAAUGUGUGGUGUAGCGGUGAAAUGCAUAGAUAUCACACAGAACACCGAUUGCGAAGGCAUCUCACAAAUCCGUCAUUGACGCUGAGGCACGAAAGUGCGGGGAUCAAACAGGGUUAGAUACCCUGGUAGUCCGCACAGUAAACGAUGAUAACUCGCUGUCGGCGAUAGACAGUCGGUGGCCAAGCGAAAGCGAUAAGUUAUCCACCUGGGGAGUACGACCGCAAGGUUGAAACUCAAAGGAAUUGACGGGGGCCCGCACAAGCGGAGGAACAUGUGGUUUAAUUCGAUGAUACGCGAGGAACCUUACCCGGGCUCAAACGACAGGGGACGGCAGAUGAAAGUUUGCUUCCAGCAAUGGCCGCUGUCGAGGUGCUGCAUGGUUGUCGUCAGCUCGUGCCGUGAGGUGUCGGCUUAAGUGCCAUAACGAGCGCAACCCCCAUCUUCAGUUGCCAUCGGGCAGUGCCGGGCACUCUGGAGAGACUGCCAGCGCAAGCUGUGAGGAAGGCGGGGAUGACGUCAAAUCAGCACGGCCCUUACGUCCGGGGCGACACACGUGUUACAAUGGCGGAGAACAGAGGGGAGCCAGGUGGCGACACCGAGCCGAUCCCGAAAAUCCGUCUCAGUUCGGAUCGGAGUCUGCAACCCGACUCCGUGAAGCUGGAUUCGCUAGUAAUCGCGCAUCAGCCAUGGCGCGGUGAAUACGUUCCCGGGCCUUGCACUCACCGCCCGUCA
rnacentral:rRNA from 1 species